UGUUGCAGAGUGUCAAAGCACUCAGCUGCUAACUGACAGGUUGGUGGUUCGAGUCCACUCA
rnacentral:tRNA from 1 species